CCUACGGGAGGCAGCAGUGGGUAAUAUUGGGCAAUGGGCUUAAGCCUGAACCAGCAACGUCGCGUGAUGGAAGAAUGCCCUCUGGGUUGUAACCCUCUUUUGUCAGGGAGCAAUUGGCGCUACGUGUAGCGUUAUCGAGAGUACCUGAAGAAAAAGCAUCGGCUAACUCCGUGCCAGCAGCCGCGGUAAUACGGAGGAUGCGAGCGUUAUCCGGAUUUAUUGGGUUUAAAGGGUGAGUAGGCGGAAUGCCAAGUCAGCGGUAAAAGCGCGGGGCUCAACCUCGCUCCGCCGUUGAAACUGGCGUUCUUGAGUGGGCGAGAAGUAUGCGGAAUGCGUGGUGUAGCGGUGAAAUGCAUAGAUAUCACGCAGAACUCCGAUUGCGAAGGCAGCAUACCGGCGCCCAACUGACGCUGAAGCACGAAAGCGUGGGUAUCGAACAGGAUUAGAUACCCCGGUAGUC
rnacentral:rRNA from 1 species